AACGAACGCUGGCGGCAGGCCUAACACAUGCAAGUCGAACGAAGUCUUCGGACUUAGUGGCGGACGGGUGAGUAACACGUGGGAACGUACCUUUUGGUUCGGAACAACUCAGGGAAACUUGAGCUAAUACCGGAUGAGCCCUUAGGGGGAAAGAUUUAUCGCCGAAAGAGCGGCCCGCGUUAGAUUAGCUAGUUGGUGAGGUAAUGGCUCACCAAGGCGACGAUCAGUAGCUGGUCUGAGAGGAUGAUCAGCCACAUUGGGACUGAGACACGGCCCAAACUCCUACGGGAGGCAGCAGUGGGGAAUAUUGGACAAUGGGCGCAAGCCUGAUCCAGCCAUGCCGCGUGAGUGAUGACGGCCUUAGGGUUGUAAAGCUCUUUCGCACGCGACGAUAAUGACGGUAGCGUGAGAAGAAGCCCCGGCUAACUUCGUGCCAGCAGCCGCCGUAAAAC
rnacentral:rRNA from 1 species